AUCUUCUUGUGCAGUGGUUUCAACGUUGGACUAAGACUCUGGAGACCAGGGUUCGAGUCCCAGAUCAGCUA